AUCGCCGCUACGCCCACAAACGUCUACGACCGCACCUACAUAUUUUUACAUGUUCACAAUUCAAAUUUUGAACAGCCAAUCCGGUUCUUAGUAACAAUUACAAUUAAACGUCGAUUGACUGUUAAAAUUAGAAUUGUAAACAUGCAAAAAUAUAUAGGUGCGGUCGUAGACAUUUGUGGGAAUAGUGGCGAU
rnacentral:miRNA from 1 species